rnacentral:rRNA from 1 species
GAUGCACGCUAGCUACAGGCUUAACACAUGCAAGUCGAGGGGCAUCAGGAAGAGCGCUUGCUUUAUUUGCUGGCGACCGGCGCACGGGUGAGUAACACGUAUCCAACCUGCCCUUUACUCGGGGAUAGCCUUUAGAAAGCAAGAUUAAUACACGAUGGCAUAAUGAUUCCGCAUGGUUUGAUUAUUACAGGAUCCGGGUAAAGGCUGGGGAUGCGUUCCAUUAGGUUGCUGGUGAGGUAACGGCCCACAAAGCCUUCGAUGGAUAGGGGUUCUGAGAGGAAGGUCCCCCACAUUGGAACUGAGACACGGUCCAAACUCCUACGGGAGGCAGCAGUGAGGAAUAUUGGUCAAUGGGCGCGAGCCUGAACCAGCCAAGUAGCGUGAAGGAUGACUGCCCUAUGGGUUGUAAACUUCUUUUAUAUUAGAAUAAAGUGCAGUAUGUAUACUGUUUUGUAUGUAUAAUAUGAAUAAGGAUCGGCUAACUCCGUGCCAGCCGCCGCCGUAA